CCGCCGCCGAAACGGAGACCGGAGCCGCGAGCGCCACCAGGGCAGCAACCGCCGCAGCCGCCGCCGCUGGGCUGAGGAGUCGGAGACGCAGGCGGACGAGGUGGCGGCGGCGGCGGAGCGGGAGCGGGGACCGGGAGCGGGCAGAGCGCGGCGGCGCGGGUGUAUUCUAGAGAACAAGUCUUCAAACACCUUUGCCGUAUUGACUCUGAGCUGUCAGGGGACUCAGGCUUAUGAGGAGGUACUGUCACAGAAAACAGUGUCUAGUGAAGACGACAAGAAAGAGGGAAAAGGAUCGGAAGAAGAAGCUAAAAUACUGUAGAAAACCAUGAGAUCUAUUAGAUCUUUUGCCAAUGAUGAUCGCCAUGUUAUGGUGAAACAUUCAACAAUUUAUCCGUCUCCGGAGGAACUUGAAGCUGUUCAGAAUAUGGUGUCUACUGUUGAGUGUGCUCUUAAACAUGUCUCGGAUUGGCUGGAUGAAACAAAUAAAGGCACAAAAGCAGAGGGUGAGACAGAAGUGAAGAAGGAUGAGGCUGUAGACUCCUAUUCCAAGGAUCAAGGUGGUCGGACAUUAUGUGGUGUAAUGAGGAUUGGCCUGGUUGCAAAAGGCUUGCUGAUUAAAGAUGAUAUGGACUUGGAGCUGGUUUUAAUGUGCAAAGACAAACCCACAGAGACCCUGUUAAAUACAGUCAAAGAUAAUCUUCCUAUUCAGAUUCAGAAACUCACAGAAGAGAAAUAUCAAGUGGAACAAUGUGUAGAUGAGGCAUCUAUUAUAAUUCGGAAUACAAAAGAACCCACGCUAACUUUGAAGGUGAUACUUACUUCCCCUCUAAUUAGGGACGAAUUGGAGAAGAAGGACGGAGAAAAGGUUGCGAUGAAAGAUCCUCCGGACUUAUUGGACAGGCAGAAAUGCCUGAACGCCUUGGCGUCUCUUCGACAUGCCAAAUGGUUUCAGGCAAGGGCAAAUGGAUUAAAAUCAUGCGUAAUUGUCCUCCGAAUUCUGCGUGAUUUGUGCAACAGAGUCCCCACAUGGGCACCAUUAAAAGGAUGGCCACUAGAGCUUAUAUGUGAAAAGUCUAUAGGUACUUGUAAUAGACCUUUGGGCGCUGGGGAGGCCUUGAGACGAGUAAUGGAGUGUUUGGCAUCUGGAAUUCUACUUCCUGGGGGUCCUGGUCUUCAUGAUCCUUGCGAGAGGGACCCAACAGAUGCUCUGAGCUAUAUGACCAUCCAACAAAAAGAAGAUAUUACCCACAGUGCACAGCAUGCACUCAGACUAUCAGCCUUUGGCCAGAUUUAUAAAGUGCUGGAAAUGGACCCCCUUCCAUCUAGUAAGCCUUUUCAGAAAUAUUCCUGGUCAGUUACUGAUAAAGAAGGUGCUGGGUCUUCAGCUCUGAAGAGGCCAUUUGAAGAUGGAUUAGGGGAUGAUAAAGAUCCCAAUAAGAAGAUGAAACGAAACUUAAGGAAAAUUCUGGAUAGCAAAGCAAUAGACCUUAUGAAUGCACUAAUGAGGCUAAAUCAGAUCAGGCCUGGGCUUCAAUAUAAGCUCUUAUCUCAGUCUGGCCCUGUCCAUGCCCCAGUCUUCACAAUGUCUGUAGAUGUGGAUGGUACAACAUAUGAAGCCUCAGGACCAUCCAAGAAAACAGCAAAACUUCACGUAGCAGUGAAGGUACUGCAGGCAAUGGGAUACCCAACGGGCUUUGAUGCAGAUAUUGAAUGUAUGAGUUCCGAUGAAAAGUCAGAUAAUGAAGGCAAAAAUGAAACAGUGUCUUCAAACUCAAGCAAUAAUACUGGAAAUUCUACAACUGAAACCUCCAGUACCUUAGAGGUAAGAACUCAGGGCCCUAUCCUCACAGCAAGUGGCAAAAAUCCUGUAAUGGAGCUCAAUGAAAAAAGAAGAGGUCUUAAGUAUGAACUCAUCUCGGAGACUGGUGGAAGCCAUGACAAACGCUUUGUAAUGGAGGUAGAAGUAGAUGGACAGAAAUUCAGAGGUGCAGGUCCAAAUAAGAAAGUGGCAAAGGCAAGUGCAGCUUUAGCUGCCCUGGAGAAGCUGUUUUCUGGACCCAAUGCAGCAAAUAAUAAGAAAAAGAAGAUUAUCCCUCAGGCAAAGGGUGUUGUGAAUACAGCUGUGUCCGCAGCAGUCCAAGCUGUUCGGGGCAGAGGAAGAGGAACUCUAACAAGGGGAGCUUUUGUUGGGGCCACAGCUGCUCCUGGCUACAUAGCUCCAGGCUAUGGAACACCAUAUGGUUACAGCACAGCUGCCCCUGCCUAUGGUUAAUACUUUUAAGCAGUUUUCAGCACGUUUAUCUCACUUUAUUCUCGUUCUCCUUGGACCUUCGUAGCCAUAUCACUUGUAUAAAAUAGGCUGAGAUAUAGUGACUGUAAGCUGUGGUCUCAGUAUACAAAGAUUAGAUAGAUGAUUUAUUUCCCACCUGAUCCAACCGUCAUGGAGUUCAUUUAAAAGAUGUGAGGGUUAGGCCGACUAUUUUCAAAAGGAUUUGCUUCUUCGUUACGUGUAUUCAUUCCAUAAAUGCAUUUCAUAUGUGUUAGAUGUUCUGUGCUAAGGUUGUACUUGAUAUAUAGAUAGAUAGAUAGAUAGAUUGAUUAAAAUGAAGUUUAUGUUUUAUAUUUGUCUCUAAGUAGUAGUUUUCUUUUUAUUGCUAACUUUGAAGGUUGCUGGAACAACUUUUUUCCCAUACAGAAUCUGUAUGUACAUUGAAUGUGGCUUCGGCAUCUAUAAAAGGCUGAGUGAGGUCUAGUUGACUAGUACCAAGUACAUUCCAGUCCUGAUCAAACAGCCAAGUGCCCCUUACGGGACAGGUUCUUCUCUAGCAAAACAGGCUCCGCCCAGUGGAAACCUUUUAAGUCGGAGAGUCUCCUUGUUGGUGGAAUUGGGCCUAUUGUAAAUAUCCUAGGUUGGGAGCCAAAUAAUGCAUUAGCAGUGUCAGAAGAUAAUUUACUUAGUUAAUAGUUUAUUUAUAAAUUAGUUAAUAAUAGGGGCCCCCUGACAUCACUGAAAAUGGGCAUCAUUUGGAAAUUCACUCAUUUUAAAUUUCCCUGGCAGUUUUGAGAGCCUGAAACCAACUCUGGUUUAUGUUCAUGGACCUCUAUCCACAUAAGUGCAGUGAAUGAAAUGAAUAACAAAGAGCCCAGUCCUUUAAAACUAGUUUUUAUAGUGUAGCAAAGAACAAAAGUGGUUAAUUUAAACACUGACCACAUUUUUUGAUGACGAGUGAGGGAAAUUUUACUCUUAUAAUCAAUCAUUCAUUAUCAUUUCCCUGUUUCUUGGGUUUCAUUAAUAACUGCACUGGAGGUAAAUCUUCAGUAGUGAGUUACAGGAGUGAACUAAGGAGAUCUGCCCCCUUUCCCCCAACCCCAACAGUUAGAUUUCUAGCAAUCUAGAGCCCUAAAAAUCAGGGACAUUGAGAGCAGUUAAAGCUGAAGACAGCCUGCUCUGUGAGUGGUCUUCCUGCAACUUCCAUUCAGCGUAUGCCAGUGCCUCCCUGGUGGUGCUGGGAUGGGGGUGGUCCCUCUGAAGUCACCCAGAACAAGAAAGGUUCUGUUGCAUUCAGACUCCUACUCUGAAACCAUCUGAGGCCAUGCCAUCCAUUGACCAGAGAUUUCUCAGUGUUACUAGGAGGCCGGGAAGGGAGAUGGGUGGUAAGUGAACCUGCAGAGCCAGGAAGCUGUCUACCACUGAGGUGAGUUCAAUAUUGACGUGUUUCUCUCUAGCAGUUACUUACAGAGCACAGAGCUAGUACUUCUUAUGUAAGUUCCUUCCUUUCCCAAUAGCAUCUUCCAGAAAGUCUGUUUUAAGUCAAGAAUUGAAGUUGACUUAGUUGUAAGAAUAGAUAUCCUUUCCCACAUUAUCAUUUUAGGUAAGAGCUAACAGCUUCCAUUGAUGCUUGAAGCAGUGAUCUUUGGAGAUUUUUUUAAAAUAGCAGCAUAAUGCAAAUUAGGUUAUGUAAGCUUUAUAGCACAGCUAGAAAUAGGGAUUAGAAACCAUGUGGGACUCUGGGCCAGAGUAUAUUUCUCUCCCUCCAGCAAACUCCUGUGGGGCCUAGGAAUUAGAUUCUGAGUUAAUACACAGAGUGCUUUGAAUAGGACCUGGUACAGAGUAAGUGCUCAGUAAAUGCUGACCGUUCUUACUGUGGUUGGCUGAGGUGACAAAAUACGUGCGGGAGGCUGUGCUGUGCCGGCAUGUAGUGGAGAAGCAGGUGCGUGGCCUGCUGGGGGGCGGGGGGAGCGGCGUGGGUUCUUUAGUGUUGACAGGUUUGGGAUACUCCAGGCUUUGGGAGAGGACUCUAGCAACUUCGGGUCAGUUGGGAGGUACAAAGCAAACACUGGAUGAGACCUGGUGUGGGAGGCUGCUGCAGAUCCGUGCUGGACGAAGAUGCUCAUGUUUCUGUGUGGUAGUUAAUCAUCGGGCAGUCUGUUGCCAGGCGUUUGUAAUACUUGCUUUGGGAUUUAGGUGUGCUUGGAACUUCAAAGGGGCUGAGCUUAUCAACCUGCUGAUUCUAAGUUUCCUGCCAGUGCAUUAGUAAGAAAAGAGUGUGUGUUUGAUUACAGCUAGCCCCAGAAUCUGACAUUCAGAGCUCACCAUUUAUUUGGCAGGUAGAACGCAAGUUACUAUAAAUCACAGAAAAGAAAGAGGAGACCGGGUGGCAUGCUUAGAAGGCUGUUGACUUGGAUGCUUCUCUCUUCUAGUUUGCUGCAACACCUUGGGAAAAAAAAAAUCUGUAGUUAACACCACUCGAGGCCUCCCUCUUGCCUGUUAAUCUUAGAAAAAAACAUACCUGUCUAUCCAUCCCUCUCUCUGUCCAUAUACCCAUUUAUCUAUCUGGACACAGUUGGGAAGUUGCU